CAGAACAGUUCAAGGCUGCCAGGUUUUUGAAAAUGAAAGAAAAGUUGGAAACAAGGACUCUUUCUUUUUGCUAAACGACAGAAUGAGAAAGAUGUUUGUGGAGAAGGAUAGGUAAUAUAAAAUAAAGGUCAAACCUUGAGGAUCUGUUCCUGUCUCUUGAAGUCUUCGUCCUCAUCCGAGUCGCACUCUGGAAACUGAUAGAUGUUAAUCCCAAACUGCUUGAUCUCGUCCCUCAUCUGAAACAGAAGAAAACUAUCAUGGUGGAAGAGGAAUAAACAAUGAUCAGAGCAUCUCCAAAGCCUGGCGUGUCUAUGAUGGAGAGCCUCAGUUUGAUUCCUUUCUCCUCGAUGCCGAUGGUGUGCUUGAUGAUGUCGACCGUUAGACUGAUCCGCUCUGCAGAUUAACCAGAGGGACUGCGUGGCCUCGAGGCCGGGCUCAGAGGAGAGUCCAGAGAAACCUGAGAGACAAGCUGCCUCUUCAACGGGAGAAUCUGUGACGAGUCCCGUCCUGCGUGACUGGGCCGGGGAGGGACG